UUUCUCAAACUACAGCCUUCAAACUUGAUGCGCAUGCAUAGUUUUGUGUACAAAGAACUUUGUCCUUGAAAUUGAUCUAGUGACCUACUUUCACAUUUCUCAAGCUACAGCUUUUGAAUUUGGACCACAUGCACAGUGUUGUGUAAGGAAAUGAAAUUUGACCUUGAGCUAGUCAGUAAGUCUUGAAAUUUGGAACACUCAAAAAUGGCACAUUGGUGGGCGCCAAGAUCACUCUGUGAUCUCUUGUUAGGUUAAUAGGUUAAAGGUCAAAGUCAGAUUGGACCAGAACAGUAGAACUUUUGUUUACAGUGAGUUUAUAAUUUCUGUUCCUUGUGCAAUUACUGAAUGCAUCAAGGGGGGCAUUUCGUGUUCGACGAGCUCUUGUUUAUAAUAGCAAAUACAAAUGUAAUCUAGUUGAAUGACAAAUGUUACGUAAAUAUGCAUUUGAAACAUACCCCAGUCCUGUCUAAGUGUCUAGGACUUCUUAUUUCUCAUUUAUCACUAAGUCAUUAAAAUUUAGCUUGUAACUGACAACCACGUGUAGCUGAGGGUAACACACUAAUGGAGAUGUUGGAAAAGUUCCACUUGAUAUAAAUUAGAAGUCUCAAGAAACAUAUUUGCAUACAGCCAUACAGUAGAGGUGAAAAGUCAUUGCACAAAAUGCUAAUUUGUACCAACCAGCCUUUGAUUCCACACAGAAAAUUGAUUGAGCAAUUAGAAGGCCGGCCUCUACAGAGAAAGCAGUGGUCAGUCAAUGCAGUUUUUGAUAAUAUUCUGUUGUAUGUAUAGUCUUUAAUACUGAUGGUACUGGUCCACACACCGCUGUCAACAAGGAUGAAAUAUUCAUGACACCAGUGUAACUGGUGCUUAGUGCUUUUGAUAGCGAUAAUGGUUGUCUGCAUGAUGCAAGAUAUUUGUCAAGCCCUGCAUUGUUGCUAGUAUAUGUUCCAGAAAUCAGUUAUACAGGGCAAACCUUCUUACACCAUGAGACUUUGGAAAACAGGAGCAGAAAUAUAUACAUCUAUCCUGUCUACAUGAAUACUGGUUUGGCAGUCUGAUCUAGUAGUCUGUGAAAUGUCCACCACCUGUUGAUUACUGGCAUCUUGCUUGAGCAGUGAGAGUGCAUAAUUCUUGCCUACCAGAAGAUGACCUGAAGAAGUCUUGAGAUAAACCAUCAAGUGGCUGGGAGUCUGAGGUGGUCUGUCAAGAACUUGAGGACUACUAGUGUAACAACUCUGAUAGAGCAGGAAUUAACUUCUCUGAACCAUCUCUACUCUU